rnacentral:rRNA from 1 species
CCUACGGGAGGCAGCAGUGAGGAAUAUUGGUCAAUGGCCGGAAGUCUGAACCAGCCAUGCCGCGUGAAGGUCAGUGCCCUAUGGGCGGUAAACUUCUUUUGUGCGGGAGCAAUAAUGGUCCCGUGUGGCCAGACGAUAUUACCGUACUCAUAAGCAUCGGCUAACUCCGUGCCAGCAGCCGCGGUAAUACGGGGGAUGCAAGCGUUAUCCGGAUUUAUUGGGUUGAAAGGGUGAGUAGGCGGCCUUUUAAGUCAGCGGUGAAAGUCUGUGGCUCAACCAUCGAAUUGCAGUUGAAACUGGGGGGCUUGAGUAUGUUUGGGGCAGGCGGAAUGCGUGGUGUAGCGGUGAAAUGCUUAGAUAUCACGCAGAACCCCGAUUGCGAAGGCAGGCUGCCAGGCUGUGACUGACGCUGAUGCACGAAAGCGUGGGGAUCAAACAGGAUUAGAUACCCGAGUAGUC